CCUACUCCCAACGUGGAUUGUCUUCAGUUAGGAGGCCGGGGCCCCUGCCACCCUAGAAUUCUCUUGGGCUUAAUGAACUUUAGGUCAUCCCCAUCUCCGUCCCUCAUCCUCGCCUCUGCCGUUCUCCUUUCAGACCUCAGACGGCCAGAACUAGAGGACCUCUGAAGCAAUAAUGGCCAUACAGAGGGAGUUCUCAUCGCAAAGACGACAAUAAUUUACCCAAGAGCUCACCCCCACGAGGCCAGAGUUAUCCAGCUCUCAAAUGUAGACAAAAAGUGCUCUUUGCUCAUGUACUGGGUGUUCUUUUACAGGUCGCAUCCACUCCACCAGGGUCCGUCAGCUAGCUCUCUUUUCUCCUCCUUAAAAAGGGGCCUGGAGGAGACCCCGUCGGCCUGGUACCCAGCUGCGGGAGACUGUCCUUAAGCCCAGCCACCACUGGGAAGGCUUCCACUCAUUUGAAGAUCUCAGAGCUUGGAGACCUCUCUUGAUGAUGAAAAGGUCAAGCUGCUAUGCAAAAUGGUAGAUUUGUCAUUCACCAUACAAUGAUAUCAACAAUUUCGACCUUACAGAGGCCAUCCAGCUGCUAAGAUUAGUGGCAAAAGAAACAUCAGUUGGCACCAACUAAAUCAGAAACAGAGACAAGCAAGAUAUAAUAAGCCAGGGCUGCAGAAUUUGGUUGCAGCAAAUAUAUACAGCAUAUUAGAUUUGACAUCGACUAACCCAAGGCAUGCAUCUACAUUUUGCCAAAAGGAGGACAUACUACAGACACUCUUAGUGCUGUCCAUCAUCAAAAAUAUAGAUAGACAUUACAGUUGUUCAUCGCUAUUGAAGAAACACCUGCUAUGGCUACAAAGAGCAAGUAGGGGAAAAGCCUACUAAACUAUAAGUCAUCCAUCUUGCCAGCCCAGUUGACGGGCCCGCCGCUCCCAGAGUGCUGUAAUCUUCUUCUCCUUUGCCAGGGCUGCCUCAGCCUGCUCUCUGGCCUCCUCACAUGUCUCUGUUGC